UGAUGGAGGUAGAGCACUGAAUUUCCUAGGGGGCGUCAAAGUCUACCGAAGAAUAUCAAACUCCGAAUGCCGUAAUGAUGAUUCACAGGAGUCAGACUGCACGAGAUAAGUUGGGUAGUCAAAAGGGAAAGAGCCCAGACCUGCAGCUAAGGUCCCAAAGUGCGUGUUAAGUGGAAAAGGAUGUGGGAUUUCGAAGACAACUAGGAUGUUGGCUCAGAAGCAGCCAUACAUUCAAAGAGUGCGUAAUAGCUCACUAGUCGAGAGGUCCUGCGCCGAAAAUGUCCGGGGCUGAAACACAACACCGAAGCUUAGGAAUGUAGUGAUACAUUGGUAGAGGAGCAUUGCAUACGCGAGGAAGCAGUACCGUAAGGAGCUGUGGAGUGUAUGGAAGAGAGAAUGCCGGAAUGAGUAGCGAGAUGGAGGUGGGAAUCCUCCAGGCCGAAUAUCCAAGGUUUCCAGGGUAAAGCUGAUCUGCCCUGGGUAAGUCGGGGCCUAAGGCGAGGUCGAAAGACGUAGCCGAUGGACAACAGGUUGAGAUUCCUGUACUGCUGUAUAACAGAACUGUGGGGACACGUGUGGAGAGUGUGAGCCGGGUAUGGAAAGACCGGUGCAAGCGAGGUAGGAGUACAUCAGGCAAAUCCGGUGUGCAAUCCGAAGACGUGAUGCGGAUCGAAAAGAAGUAGAGAAGUGUGUGAGCUGGCUGCCAAGAAAAGCCGCUAUUGUUUACAGGAUACCCGUACCGUAAACCGACACAGGUGGAUGAGGAGAGAAUCCUAAGGCCGACGGAAGAAGCAUUGUUAAGGAACUCGGCAAAAUGACCCCGUAACUUCGGGAGAAGGGGUGCCUGCGAGAGCAGGCCGCAGAGAAUAGGCUCAAGCAACUGUUUAGCAAAAACACAGGUCUAUGCGAAACCGAAAGGUGAGGUAUAUGGGCUGACGCCUGCCCGGUGCUGGAAGGUUAAGAGGAGAGGUUAGCGCAAGCGAAGCUUUGAAUUUAAGCCCCAGUAAACGGCGGCCGUAACUAUAACGGUCCUAAGGUAGCGAAAUUCCUUGUCGGGUAAGUUCCGACCCGCACGAAAGGCGUAAUGAUUUGAGCACUGUCUCGACAAUGCAUCCGGUGAAAUUGAAGUACCAGUGAAGAUGCUGGUUACCUGCGCCAGGACGGAAAGACCCCAUGGAGCUUUACUCCAGCUUGAUACUGGGACCCGGUAUUGCAUGUACAGGAUAGGUGGGAGGCUAGGAAAUGUGGACGCCAGUCUGCAUGGAGCCGGGGCCCACGCCGGACUGCGCGGUGCCCACGCGGGCGACCAGCAUGAUGGAGGACAGGCCCACAAAGAUGCCGGCGAUGGCGCCGAUCAUCAUUUUGGCGGCGGUAACACUGAUGCCGGCCAGGCGCGCGGCGUCCUCGUUGCCGCCCAGGGCGUAGAUGUAGGUGCCCCAAUAGGUCUUGGUGAGGAAGAUGCUCAUGAUGACCACCAGCACCAGCGUGAGGAUGACCGCAAAGGGGAUGCUGCCGAUGUAGCCCUGGCUGAUGAACUUGAACGAAUCGCUGAACCCGCUGAGGGUCUUGGAGCCGGAGACCGUGUAAGAGAUGCCCUGAUAGAGCAUGGAGGUGCUGACGGUUACCAUCAGAAGGGUGAUGCGCAGCUUCACCGCGAGGAUCAUGUUGAGCUCGCAGAGCACCACGCCCAUCAGGAUGCCUGCCAGCAGCAGCACCCAGACCGGCGGGUCAAAGUACUUGACCAG
rnacentral:rRNA from 1 species